rnacentral:rRNA from 1 species
GAGUUUGAUCCUGGCUCAGGAUGAACGCUGGCGGCGUGCCUAAUACAUGCAAGUCGAGCGAACAGAUAAGGAGCUUGCUCCUUUGAAGUUAGCGGCGGACGGGUGAGUAACACGUGGGUAACCUACCUAUAAGACUGGGAUAACUUCGGGAAACCGGAGCUAAUACCGGAUAACAUUUAGAACCGCAUGGUUCUAAAGUGAAAGAUGGUUUUGCUAUCACUUAUAGAUGGACCCGCGCCGUAUUAGCUAGUUGGUAAGGUAACGGCUUACCAAGGCGACGAUACGUAGCCGACCUGAGAGGGUGAUCGGCCACACUGGAACUGAGACACGGUCCAGACUCCUACGGGAGGCAGCAGUAGGGAAUCUUCCGCAAUGGGCGAAAGCCUGACGGAGCAACGCCGCGUGAGUGAUGAAGGUCUUCGGAUCGUAAAACUCUGUUAUUAGGGAAGAACAAAUGUGUAAGUAACUGUGCACGUCUUGACGGUACCUAAUCAGAAAGCCACGGCUAACU